ensembl:lncRNA
AUGCAGCGUCUCCGAGCCUCUGAAAUGGGAUCUUCUGAUGGGGUAGUUGAAGGCCAGGGCAAAGAGGACAGAGCAGAUGGAUUAGAUGGUAAAGGGAUACAAACAGACUCAGGCGGAAUUUCUACUGUGAGCAUGUCCCAUGAGGUGUCUGUCGAAAGCAGACCUGUGGAUAAUCAAGAAGAGGAGAAAGCAAGACACCUAAAAGCAGAAGAGAAAGAAGCAGAGACCCUUGCCAGAUCAAACAGCUCUUUAAAAGUACAAGCAGGUGAGCUAAACAAGAAAGAGACUACUGAAGGCACUUCUGAAAGGGAGGACAAACCAUCAACAAGAGCGAGCCAGAAAGCAGCACCCAGCCAACCUAUCAAGACCUCGGAAAACCGAGAGAAUAAUGUUCCCAAGGAGCCAGAGGCCACAACUGUUGGCAUUGUCGAAAAGAAAUCACCUUUCCCUGAUAAUCCAAAUCAACGCAAAAUGGCAGCCAAACUCUCAAUGGAUCAUGGCUCAUGUUCAGAUGCCAAGACCAGUACCUUGUCAGUGGGAAAGGAACCAACCCUUAAAUCAGAAGACAAAAAAGACACAAUCCAUGAUAUGGCCGCAAGUAGCUGGUGUCAAACACAGCUCCCGGAAGCAGUUGCAGAGAGUCCAGCAGAAGUAGGAGUGACUUGCGAGGUCAAUCCUAAGAGUAGAGAGUUGAAGAAAGGACGAACGGACAAGGGUUGCCAGUCGGUGAAAAACAUACAGUGUACAUAUGCAGGAUUGGGAUCUUCAAGUCUUAGCUGUGAUAAAACAGUAUUCGAGCAGGAGCUGCAAGAGAUGGUCCAUGGUGCAUCAGGGUAUGGAAGCCCGUACUGUCCAACUUACUCUGUCGGACAGUACGGUGUUCUAGAUCCUGGAAGUGGAGUGAGUGCGGACUGGCAAAUGGAUUGUGUAAUCGAACAAAUUGAAAAGCAAAUGGCUGCCGUGUUAGAGAAGAUCGAGGGGGACAUGCCUUCAUUGCUGGAGCAGAUCAGUGACCAUCCCGAGACCCUUCCGAGAGCAAAGAGCGCCAGCUCUUCCCCAUCACCCCAACCUCGCUCGUACCAUCAUUCGACUCCACCACCCCUUCCCACCACACCUCGCCCAGUAAUGCCUUCUCUACCACACUUGACCAUCCCGCCUCCCUCGUACCCACCACCUUCCCCACCCAGUCACAUCCAGGGUCACAGCCAUCCAACUGCCGACGAGGGUAACAGUGACGGCCAGAAGUCUACAAAACGGUCUGGGCAAUCACCAAGGGGAAGUUUGUCAGGAAAAGGGUUGUAA